CGUGAGCUGGGUUUAGACCGUCGUGAGACAGGUUAGUUUUACCCUACUGGUGUGUGCUUAUAGUCGCUAUCUUAACGGAAUUCCUGUGCAGUACGAGAGGAACCACAGGUACGGACCACUGGCUCAAUACUAGUCCGACCGGACUUUGGUAUGACGCUACGUCCGCUGGAUUAUGCCUGAACGCCUCUAAGGUCGUAGCCAAUCCGAGCUGAUAGCGCUUCUCAAACCCAUUAGGUGUUCGGAAGCUAGCGGGCCUAACAACCCUCUGAGAUCCGUUGGAGUCUGCGUCUGCAGCCCGGCGUCUCAUCCCGCUAUACCUAGGCCGCAACGAGUGGAGUUCGCUGCACGUGUUAGUACCGUAACUGGGAACGCCGUUGGCUUGAGCUCUGCCCAACGUGGAUAUACCUAGUUUCGACACCUAUCAACCGCCCGCAAACGACGGGACUUCAGGCUGGGAGCUGCGAGUUGUAGAGAUGCGUUCGCAUCGAUCCUCUCAGGCGACCCAUGCUUGGUGGUUUGUC
rnacentral:ncRNA from 1 species